AAUGUUGCUCUCCCUGGAGCUGGGCUGCAGGAAGUCUGGGCCCCCGGCUCGCACUCCCGGACCCCGCACCAACCUCCAGGGUCGCUCUCCAAUCUUAACCAGGUUUGCUCCCUGAGCGUACCCAGGUGCUACAGCAUCAGCUUCCCUUGCCGCUUCCUGCGGCUGAAGGGAUGGUCCGACCAAAGCCUCCUGCCCUGGGGCAGCCGAUGCCACUGCAUGCUUUUUCCUGCGCUUGGGCUUCACGGUGCCACGGAUAUUGGCCGGCUUGCUGCGCUUGGAGCGUAGGGUAAUGUACACCACAUUGGGCUGCAGAGUGGACCCAUUGCCCUGGGACUCUGGAGGGGCCAGGGUACCAUCCAGGGGUAUCUCAGGGAAGGAUGGCUCGGCGGUGUCGCGGCUGCGAUGUGGCCCCUUCUCAGCCGCCUGUCCAUGCUGGAGAGAGGCCCUCCCCACCUGGCUCACCAGGAAGCCCAAGUAGAUGGCACACGCAGUGCCCAGCAGAAGGUUUCUCCGGGUCCUUGGACGCCGGCUGCUCCAGAGCUUACGCACCCGCGGGACGCACAGGGAGCAGAUGAACCAGUUUAUGAGCUGCCCCGGCUUGUCUGGACAGGUCAUUUCUCUGCCGCAUCCACAUGUUGAACGGAGUUUAAAGUCUGCAGUUGGCUCCUGCUAAUGUGAUGCAUGGUUUCCUGACUUCAGCUGCCGCGUCCGCUUCGGGAUGAAAUGACCAGUGCUUUGGUUAAGAAUGCACAUUAUACUGCAGUUCUUUGGGGAAUGAAGCCACCCUUGACUGAGGUAUUAUGCCAACUCUCACCCUGUGAAUCCACUGACUGGGGAACAUUGUUUAAGAAAAUCACAUGGCUGUGCCAACAAGCAAGGAGACACGGCACAGAAGACAGAGGCAGAAGCAGCUUUAUUGAAAAACAGAGCAUGAGUAGAACGACUUCAAAUCCCAUAUGGCACCACACCUCUAGGAUGGACCCCCAUGAUCCCCACCUCCUGGUAUCCGCGCCAUGAUGCAAUCUGCUUACAGCCUAAAUCAGGAUGAACCAUAUGACUCAUAGAACACUGCAGAAGGCAUGAUGUGUGACUUCAGAUGUGAAGUCAUAGAGGACAAGGACACAGCCACCUUCUUGGAUUUCUCACUCUGUGGAAGGGCAGUGACAUUCCAUGAGACAAGCAGUCCUGUGGUGAGGCCCAUGUCAAGAAGGCCUGAGAUCUCCCACCAUCAGCUACAGCCAAUUUGUCAGUCACGUGAGUAAACCACCUGGGACGUGAAUCCUCUCGACUUAACCACCUCUUCAGGUGGCCAGAGCCCUAGCCCAGGUCUGACUGCAACCUGAUGAGAAACCCUGAGUAGGAAGACCUGCUUGAGCUGCUCCCAAAUUAUUGAUCCACAGACACUAUGAGAGAUAAUACGUACUUAGUGUUCUUUUAACCCACUACAUUUUGGUUGGCUGUAUUUAUUACCCUGUAACAGAUGACUAAUACAUCUCCUGUGAUCAAAACACUUCAGAGGUUCCCCAUUUCUCUCAGAGAAAUAUCCAAAGUCCAUAAGGCCUGUGAGGCCCCUCACAUUCUUCCCACCCCCAUUACCUCUCUAACUCCAUUUUCUACCACUCUCCUUCUUUCCACCUCAACCACAGCUACAGUGACUUCUUUGCCCUUUCUCAAAUCUGCCUCAGGGCCUCUGUACUGGACACUCUCUCCCCACUCCCACUCCCUCCUCCAGGCCUUCACUGAAAUGUCUCCCUCUCAGUGAGGACUUCCUUUCCUAAACUGCAGUACCCCCAACCUACACACACACACACACACACACACACACACACACACAGAGUCUCUAGUCUUCCUAGCUCCUUAAUUUUUUUUUCCUUAGCACAUAUCACUAUUUCAUAUACCAUAUUUGUCAUCUAUUUUCUGGUUUCCCUUUCUCAGAUGUAAGCUAAGUUGGUGCAGGGGUUUUUGUCUGUUCCCAAUGUCUAGAAGAGUGUCUGAUUUACAGUAGACACUCCAUGAAAUUUGUCAAAUGAAUACACCAGUGUUAAGAGUAUAAGAGUGUAAUAGUACCUUUAAAAAUGCCUCAAAGAUAAAUCUUUUGAUUUAUCUUUAUUUUUAGAUCUCUACCCCCACUUUAGCCACUUCUGAAAUUUACUACUAGAAAAACCUUUUCUUUCGUGAAGAACUGUCUCACAAAAAUAGCAGUUAAAUAGGAAGCUAUCCUAACCCACUGUUUGCCUUUUCCCUUGUGAAACUCAGACCAAAAUUGAAAGUCAUCUAUUGUAACUAUGUGUUCUUGGCAUCUAAACUCUGUUUUGUUUCAUCUUGACUUUCUUAAUUUCCUAGGUUUUUUCCUUUGUUCCUAUUAUUUUAUUGUUUUUAUUCUAUAUUGCUUCAAAGACUUUAUGAAAUUAAGUAAAUUAUAAAUACAAAUAUAAGUAAGUAUACUAGUCUUUUCUUAAGCUCACAACAAAUUAUUACAGGUAUCUUUGAUUCAGUUUAUUAUAAUUACAGAAUUGUAAACUUUUCAAGGAAUAAAUCUUUAAAAUCAACAAAGGUAAUAUUUU
rnacentral:lncRNA from 1 species